AAAUAUUUCCCCCCAAUACAAGACAAUGAAAUCAUCGUCCAAAUAAUACUAGUGGGAAAACUUUCCUCAAUUCUUUUCUCUCAUCUGCCGCUUCACCUUCACUGCCUCCCUUAACCUAAUUCAUUCCUUUUCAUUCAUUGCUGCAACUGUCUUCCGGAUUACUCUCACCCAUAGCAAAUCUCCAUCCCUUUCUCUAUUGCGCGCAACCAAAGAGAACAACGAGGAACCAUCAAAGUCUGAAAUGUUUAAUACAACUCGUACAAAGAAAGGGAAGGAAAUUCAUACGGAUACUCAAGUUGCAAUAUCUGAACUUCAGAAUCGUCAAAGUUCCGGAGAAACAACAGAUGAUGCAUUUAGGGCUGUAUUUGGAAAGGAGCAGCCUGGUCGGGUUAGAUGCUAUGGUAGAUCGGCGACGACAAACUCUGAAAAAAGAUGAAGAAAUCACCAAGCUUAAACAAAAGCAUGCCAACGAAAUAACUUCUCUGAAGGAAGAAAUGAAGGAAAUGAUGAGAGAAGAAAUACGAUAUUUUUUUAGUCAAUUGGUGAAAAACAACCCUGGACUGGAUUUUCAUGAAAUUCAAGAGUGUGUUGGAUCUAAUAUUCCUUCACCGGUUGAUGCAAGUAGUGCACGAGCUAUGAGAGGCCAUAAUCUACCAUAUUCUUCUGGCUCAACUCAUGCCCCGAGUCUUGAAAAGGAAAAUACGGGUGAUGCAAUUGGAAAUGGUGGCUACAAAUCAAUUUGAUUCAUUAAAGUAAAUGGUGAAUACCUUUUGAACAAUUGUGAUGUUUAUUUUUUUUUUAUAUUGAUACAAUAAAUAUUUUCACA